UGGCUACAUCACUUUGAAACGUCGGUUUCUGUACGAUUACCGAAGUUAAGCAAAGUCAAGCUUGGUCAGUACCUAGAUGGGUGACCGCUUGUAAAUACCAGGUGCUGUAA